UACUCGCGCUAGACUGAAGUCAGUAAUGAUAUUCUUUGGUAAUGUAAAUGUUCUUUGCUUGUUUUGAAUAACUGGAGGAAAUGUAAAUGAAAGAUUCGCGCACCCAUGUCUCUGUCUCCUCAGCGCCAUCACAAGCACCAAAUCCUAACCACUUCAGAGACCUCUCGAGCUGAACUUGUUUUUAUACUAAAGUUUGAAAGGAGUAGUCAAUUUAAUAAAUUCUCAGGACUUACCCUUACAAAAAUGUCCUGUGGUAUUCCUGUGGUACUGCAGCAGUACUACAUAAAUUUACCACACAACAAAUGAGCAGAGCUUAAUAUGACAGGAUUACCACAGCACUUUCUGUUGUACAGUAUCACAAGAAUUUACCAUUAGAUGUUGUAUGUGGUUUUUCUGUUGUUUUUGUGUUGUAAUUCCAACACAAGCUAAAUAUGACAGGAUUACCACAUCACUUUCUAUACAGCAUGAAUUUACUACAGAAAAUACAAUGUGUUGUAUUUGAAUGGUAUAUGUAUAUGUAUUGUUUCUGUGUGAUAUUUAACACAAUAAACAAUUGUCUGAUCUCACUUUAUCAUAAUUGAAAAUUUUAUUAAACUACAAAAAUUAAUUUCCUAGAUAGUACAUUCUCACAAAAAUUUUCGUUUUAUGAUUUAAAUUAAAUUUAUGACAAAUGUGUUAUAUUGUAACUGUAACAGCUAUAAUGUAAUGACAACAUCAGUAUUUCUAAGAUAUGAAAUAUAGUCCAGUAUGUAUUGUGUGUUAUAUACUGUAUGUAUGUGUGUGUGUGUGCGCGCGCGCGUCUGUGUGUAGCCUAUAGUACACAAAAUAAUCAAUUAUUAUAAUUAUACACAUUAACGUAAUAACAUUAAUAAUGAUAUUAUGCACACAGGCAUUUACGCUUGCGUUGCUUGCUGCCCGUUUCCAUGGCAAUGGUGAAGCUCAGACUUUGGCGCACUUUUGGAUUUUGAACCGUGACGUCAAGCCGUUCUCAACCGCCAACCGCGAACUAGACAGUUUGUAAAAUGUUGCGUUUCUGAUUAUUUUCUUUUUUCGAAGAAAACGCAGUCGAAACAGGUCUAUCGAGUUACACUGAAGACACGCACAUUCACGACGAAACAUUAAUUAAGGAAGAAUGGUAUUUCUCCGAGGAAGUAAUCGUCAGCUGGCCCGCUGCGAGAAACCAGACGUCUCAGUUCAUCCGUCUUUGCUGAGUCAGGCCUGGAUGAAAACCUGCUUAAAGAGAGAGUGCAAGCCUGGUGCUGAUGUACCCGGUAAGCUAAAUGAAGAAUUGUAAAACCGAAAAAGCUCAGAUGAUGCUGAAAAGACUGUCAGCUCAGCCUCAGUAAGUAUGCUCUUUUUGACAAUCUUUUAUAUAAAAAAAGAAAAACAGAAACAAAGACUGGACAGCAUUUAAUGCAGCAACUAAUUAAACAUAAGUCCACAAGAAAACAGGUGAAAAAUAGUAGGCUAAAUACUAAAACUGUCAAUUCCAGUUUUUCAAAACACAAUACCACAAAAGACAAUGAAUGUUUAUGCUGCUUAUGUAUCUUUUCAAGACCCCUGUAAAUGAAUCAGAUCAAGAAAUGCAAAGAAGAAUAGAAGGGCUACAGGAAGAAAACAGCGGCUCAGAGAGGAACUUGAAAACUAGAUUCCUGGAUUCUCAAUGAGCUGAGAAGGCUAAGGACAGAGGCACGACCUCAAACUGAAAGUGAGAAAAAGUGAGCUGUGCUUUCCCUAUUCUCAGCCUCAGACGUCACGCCCACGGACCGUUGGCUAAACAUCUGAUACAUAUGACACACAAAAGUGGAAACACUUCAAGAGUUUCAAUGUCGUCAUCGGACUGAUUGAAUUAUACAGGAUUUCCGGGAGACGUGCGUGUUGCAUUCUUUAACGUUCCACCUGGAAACAAAUAUGCCGUGACGCCGAAUUCCUCACGAAAGAAGAAAGCCGUCAUGUUUACAACUGUGAUGACGAGCGCUUAUCAGGAUCAACUAACCGCUGGAUUUUUAAAAGUAUGUGAAAUAUUUAAAGUUCAUGGCAUAGAAUCUGUAAAAUACGUCCGAGAGUUUUACACACCGGUCUGUUAUUGUGGUGAAUAAUGAUGAAACAUGAUGCUGAACGAAAUGAACUGUGAUUGGUUGUUUGACAUGUCGGUCAAACGGCCUCAUGGGUGGGCCUUGGCCAAUGAAAGCUGCCAUGGAUUCCAGACCUUAAGCCCUCAAUCUGAAGCUCUAGCUACGCGAGACAAUGCUUUCCCUAAUGUGGACAAAGGAUCCCUGAGAGAGGCUGUUCACAACAAAUGAUCAAAUGAGCGAAAGCUUAAUUGUGAGAUGUUAAUGUUUGAAUACUGUGAAUUUGCAUUUUCAUGCUUUGUUUAAUUGUGCCUUAUAUUGUUUUAUUGUGUCAUAUACCCAACUUUGUAGUGUACACAGAUUAUGUUGUUACACAUGGUGAAUAAAUGUUGAAAUGUAAUAUGGCAGAUGUAGUAUGGUGUGUCACAUUUUUGUAUUUGUAACAUUUUUAAGAUUAUGACAAGUAUACUAGUAAUACCACAGGUUUAUGACAGAAAAACUAAGGUUUUCUUGCAGGAAUAUCAUAGCAAAUUAAGUGUUACCAUUAAAAAACCCUGCAAAAUUAUUACAGGAAUACCACAAAAAUAUAAAAGGACCACAGGACUAUUACAGGAAAGCCAGGUAUUACUGCAGAAAUAUGACAGUAGUACCACAGGAAUAUCACAGAUAUAUUACAUACAGUACAACAAAAAUGCUGUGGUAAAGCGUCCCAAAAAACAACACAAUACCACAUAAUUACCACACAAUUUUUGUGCAGUACUUUUAAUGUUUUACCACAUGUAAUACCUCAGGUAAUUUUUGUAAGGGUAAGACUAAAAUGGCACUUUGAGAAGCUUGAUAAAUACGGGCCCUGGUCAAUUAACCUCUUCUUAGUCAACUGUCCAAAUACUUGAGCCCCUGAAAAUGGAGGUACUUUGCCUAAAAUGGCUGUAACUCCUAAAUGGUAAAUGUCACAUUUUUGUGGAACCUUUUAAAAUAAAGCUAAAAGCCUGCGCUUCCAUCACAUCUUGAUUGUUUUAUUUCAAAUUCAUUGUAGUGGUGCAUAUGUAUAAAGGCAAGAGCACAAAAACAGAAUCUGAAUGUCCGAAAAAGUGUCCGAAUACUUCUGGACCUGACUGUACAUCAUAAGAAGAAUGGCGUCUAUGCUAAUAUUAGUCGGUUUCAUUCUUAUUCAGAGGUUAUCGGUGGCACCCAUAUCACAAUUAAACAAAUCUUAAUGGGCUUUAAAAAGACUUUAUUUUAAAAAGUAUUUGUUACGCUUCUUGUAUAAAUUUUAUUUCCAUUUAUUAUAUUUCUGUUUAUUAUCCACCAUUCUGUCUGUUGGUUUUAGGAUGCAAUAUGACCCAAGACAUGACAUUCAACCUAAUUACUUGUACUUUAUGUACGGGGUUGUAGUUUUAUGUACUUUUCAAUUUUAUUUGUUUUGGUUUCUGGUAUAUAAUGUGUUGAAUUAUUGCGAAUCAUCUCUGAAUGGAGAUCACACUCACAACAGCUGUUUAUCUUCACUGUGACACCAGUAAUGCUUGUUUUUCAGCAUCAGGUUACGCUCUGAAAGCCUUUGCUUUAUCAUAUUUGUUCCUGCCAGCGUGCUUCUGUCCCGCCUCAUGCCAAGACUGACAUGCAGAGGGCAAAGAUCACAGACGAUGAUAAAGUUAAAGUUUCUGGCUGGAAAUCACAUUAGACAGCUGCUGGAUUCCUGUCAGACACAAACUGCAGUAAUGCAAGAGUCACAUCCCACUACAUUAAAAAAAAUAAAUAAAUGAAUAAAAACACCUGUAAAGACCACAAAAUAUCUACCAAUAAAAACAGUGAAAAUAUUAUUGCAUGCCUUGUGGUGCUCUAAAACCAUAUGCUGUUAUUGCUCUGUGGAGCAAAAAAAAAAAAUCUGAAAAAUAAAUUUAAAAAAUAAAUACGACCACACGUUGCAUCAAUCACGUUUACACACUGCCUCCGAAACUUUCGUCCGUCAUAAAAAAUAAAAA